rnacentral:misc_RNA from 1 species
UACAGAGGCCCCAAGCGUUACCCGGAUUUACUGGGCGUAAAGGGUGCGUAGGCGGCUUUGUUAGUCUCUUGUUAAAACUCCCGGCUCAACCGGGAACUCGCAAGGGAAACGGCAAAGCUCGAGGAUGUGAGAGGUGUGUGGAACUCACGGUGUAGGGGUGAAAUCCGUUGAUAUCGUGGGGAACACCAAAAGCGAAGGCAACACACUGGCACAUUCCUGACGCUGAGGCACGAAAGCGUGGGUAGCGAACGGG